rnacentral:tRNA from 1 species
GCUCCCGGGGCCUGAUGGAUAAGGCUUCUGACUUCUAAUCAGGGGAUUGUGGGACCGAGUCCUACUGGGAGUG